UGCCAAAGUUUUUCUCGGCAGCUAACUGCAGCCGGUUUCUUUAAAAUUCAGCAGUUAACUGCCGAAGGAUAU
rnacentral:pre_miRNA from 1 species